GACGAACGCUGGCGGCGUGCUUAACACAUGCAAGUCGAACGCUGAAGCUCAGCUUUUGUUGGGUGGAUGAGUGGCGAACGGGUGAGUAACACGUGAGUAACCUGCCUCCUUCUUUGGGAUAACGCCCGGAAACGGGUGCUAAUACUGGAUAUUCACUGGCCUUCGCAUGGGGGUUGGUGGAAAGGGUUUUUCUGGUGGGGGAUGGGCUCGCGGCCUAUCAGCUUGUUGGUGGGGUGAUGGCCUACCAAGGCUUUGACGGGUGGCCGGACUGGGAGGGUGACCGGUCAGGUGGGGAGUGAGAUAGGGCCCGGACUCCGGCGGGAGGCAGCAGGGGAGAAAAUUGCGCAAUGGGUGCAAGCAUGGUGCAGCGACGGCGCGUGAAGGGUGGAGGCCGUCGGGUUGUGAACCUCUUUGGCCCAUGGUCAAGCCGCAACAAUGGUUGUAGUGAGGGUAGUGGGUAAAGAAGCGCCGGCUAACUACGUG
rnacentral:rRNA from 1 species